rnacentral:lncRNA from 1 species
GAUCAAUGCCUAACUAAUGUUCUUUUUAAUCAAAUUCCAUGAAAAGUAGGACUGGAAGUGUCACAUGGCAGUGAAAUUGUCUAUAUCAAAUCACCUGACAUACCUUGGACAAAACGUUCAUAUCAUUAUUGAAAAUGCCAAUAUUGCAGAUGUGUGUGUUUAAUAAAGCUUAUGGGGCUCAAAAGGAAUAUCUGUAUAGAUCGCAAUCAAAAGACAAAUCCAAGAAGCAACAAUGUGAGAUAACUGAAUAGCAAAGGAAGAUGACAUUCAGAGCAAAGACAAGAUAGGAGAGAAAAUCAGAAAUAUGUGAGUUUUUUUUUUUUAAACUUCCAUACACCCUUUGACGAAACACAAUAAUUGAACAUUCCCUGUGAUUUAAAGUCCUCCCACACACUGGCAAUACACCGAUGCAAGGAAGUAGAAUGGAGUGCUAACUAUCCCUCUGGGAUACUAAAUGUAUCAAUCACUGAUUCUGCUUUUGCAAUAUAACUCUGACAUUUUCAUCAUAAAAUGAAAACACGCACUUAUUCACAAGAGAGAUAUUUGAAAAGAGAUGAAAAGGAAAAAAUAAAGUUACCUAUCUGUCCACAACUCUUCUGUAGCAGUAGUCAUAUAUUCUAUGUAUGUUAAAUCAGUAUAAUUGUAAAAUGAAUUCUCUUUGAAUUAAAAAUUGUCAUUGCAAAAAAGAUGACUAAGAGGUUAUUGACUUGCUAUGAACUAUAUGUGUGUGUAAGGAAUGUAUUUGACAAAACCCACAGUUAUUGGUGCUCAUGUACUUCACAUGGAAAAUUGAGAAUUGAGAGAUAUACAAUAAUUGAACAUUCCCUGUGAUUUAAAGUCCCCCCACACACAUUUAAUAGGCAUUGCAGUUUAUGUAAACAGUAAAUGUCAUAUUGAAAAUGACAAAAACACAGAAUAAUUUCUGCAGUGAGAAAAUAUUCUGAGAAUAUUCAUGGAACAUAUUUUUAUACCGAUUCUUUGGGCAAUAAAAAUUCUGUCACAGUGGGAGAAUAAGCCUUGAUUUUGCAUUGACUGGUCAAUGAGAGCAUAAAUUUCAUAGGCUUUGAAAUUAGUUUGGGAAAUCUCUAUUAGUUUGGGAAAGUAUCAUUGGCAUCAGAAUGAGCCCUUGAACUUGAAAUAUGUGAUAGAGUUCCCAUCUCGUGGUGUCCUGGAAAAAUAUACAGAGUGGAAACAGUGUGCCUUUCAACUGAGUGAUCUUUUCUCAGCAACUUCCUAGUGAAACCAGAACAGGUCACAGAAAGACAAAAUAUUAGUGUUUACAGGAAGAAAAUGAUACGGAACAGGAAAAGUAAGAAUUGAAAAGGAUUCAAGAGAGAGAAACCAAGGGAAACUAAGUACAUGACAUGAGAAUCUAUAUGUUAAAAAUUAGAGAAAGUUAGAAAUUCAGGAGUACAAAACAAGGAAAGGUGUAUGAAUUAGUAACAGGGAAUCUCAAGGCCUCGAGAAAUCAGUAGUGUAAAAGGGAUUUGUGCGUUAACAUAUUUCCAAAAAAUUUACCUUUUUUCCCUGAGGAUUUCCUGAAACAUAAAAAGUAAGGAGAUCAAAGAAAAUAUAAUGGGUAAAUACAAAUAAAAUAUGAAAUGGGUAAAAAAAUUGAUGUUUAAAAUAAAAUUAAACUUUCCAGAGUGCAGAUGAACAUACACUCACACACACACACAAAUACUUUGCAUUUUGGCACAUGUACACACGCACACAUAAGUACAGUGUUUGAGGUCUCACUUUUGUCCAUAGUGUGUAUUCCUCCCAAAAUGAAAAUUGGCACAAAAUGAGUGAAUUUACUGUUGAGAAAAAGUUUCAGGAGUAUUACUUCUCAUGUUCAACUUUUUUGUUUGUUUGUUUCUUUUUAGGGCGGGUGGCACACCCGUGGCAUAUGGAGGUUCCCAGGCUAGGGGUUGAAUUGGAUCUGCAGCUGCCUGCCUACACCACAGCCAUAGCAAUGUCACAUGUGCGCCUUGUCUAUGACCUGCACACACAGCUCACAGCAAUGCCAGAUCCUUAACCCACUGAGCAGGGCCAGGGAUUGAACACACAUCCUCAUGGACAGUAGUUGGGUUUAUUACUGCUGAGCCACAAUGGGAACUCCCUCGUGUUCACCAUUUAAAAAUGAUCCUGAUCGCUUUUGUCAUUAGUUAGGCUUUUUUAAUUCAGUUUGUGAUAUUUAAUAAGGUUUUUUUUAACCAAUAUGAAUAUACAAUUCUGUAUUGCAAAGGCUAUGUGGUAUAGAAUUUCUACAAAACUAAAUUAGAACAUGUUGAACCACUGCUUUUAGUAGUAUCACAGGGUAAUUUUCUUGUGCUACCCUACUUAGAAAAUUUUCGUCAACUGAUGGAUAUAUAAAAGUGUGUUUUAUAAAUUUAUUUUUUAACUAAUGCCUAAAUUCAGUUCUUUAUAAUAAAAUUCCAUGAAAGGAAAGGAAACAAAGUCUUCAAUGGCAGUAGAUCAGAUCUAAGUCAAAUGUCAUGAAUAUAUUUUGGACAAAACAUUCACGUCAGCCACUCUGAAAAGGCUGGUACUUCGGAGUUGUAUGAGUAAUAUAAUUUACUUGACUCAAAAUUAGUAUCUGGGAGUUCCCAUUGUGGUGCAAUGGAAAAGAAUCUGACUAGUAUCCAUGAGGACAUGGGUUCAAUCCCUGGCCUCCUUCAGUGAGUUGAGGAUCCAGCAUUGCCAUGAGCUGUAGUGUAGGUCACAGAUGUGGCUCAGAUCUGGCAUUGCUGUGGCUGUGGUGCAGGCUGGCCCCUGCAGCUCUGAUUCGAUCCCUAGCCUGGGAAAUUCCACAUGCUGCAAGUGUGGCCCUAAAAAGGAAAAAACAGUAGUAUCUGCAUAAAUUGUAGCAACAUAGCAAAUCAAAGAAUCAAUAACUUGAGAUAAUAAAUAUAUCAACUAUUGAUCUUGCAUUGAGUCUUCUACCUUUUUCAGAAUAAAAGGAAAACCUCUGCUCAUACAUGGGAGAGGUGCUUAAAAAGUGAUGACGAAGAACAGAGUAAAGGCACUCAUGUGUCCAAAACUAUUUGAGCAGUAUUCGUCAGGUAAAUUCCCCUAUAUACAUUAAUUUGAUUUAUUCCUUAAUUGACUCCGUUGAAAUUAAAAAAAUAAUUGUUGAAAAAAAUGCCUCUUUGACAUUACAAGGAGGAUACUAUAGGUCUAAGGAUUGUAUUCUCGUAAGAAAAAAAAAAGGCAGCAUUCUAGAGUAAUUGCUUCAUGCAUCUUGCUGGUACUUGCAGGAAAAUUUAGUCACAGGACACCCAACGUACUUGGCUCCUGCUUCUUUUGACCCACAACUGGUAAAAGGAGAGAUGCAUUAGAUCACCGUCCCGGCCAGAGUAUAUUAUCUAUCUCCACUGCCACAUUAUUUGGCGAUAUAAUUAGCUCUUGCCAAUGGAAUGUGAGUAAAAGUUAUUGAGGAGGUUAUUUCUUGCCUGAAACAGG